rnacentral:rRNA from 1 species
AUUGAACGCUGGCGGCAGGCCUAACACAUGCAAGUCGAGCGGAUGCAGGGAGCUUGCUCCUGGAUACAGCGGCGGACGGGCGAGUAAUGCCGAGGAAUCUGCCUGGCAGUGGGGGAUAACGUCCGGACACGGGCGCUAAUACCGCAUACGCCCUUAGGGCGAACGGGGGGGAUCUUGGGACCUCACGCUCUCAGAUGAUCCUAGGUCGGAUUAGCUAGUUGGUGGGGUAAAGGCCUACCAAGGCGACGAUCCGUAACUGGUCUGAGAGGAUGAUCAGUCACACUGGAACUGAGACACGGUCCAGACUCCUACGGGAGGCAGCAGUGGGGAAUAUUGGACAAUGGGCGAAAGCCUGAUCCAGCCAUGCCGCGUGUGUGAAGAAGGUCUUCGGAUUGUAAAGCACUUUAAGUUGGGAGGAAGGGCAGUAGGUUAAUACCUUGCUGUUUUGACGUUACCAACAGAAUAAGCACCGGCUAACUUCGUG